GACGAACGCUGGCGGCGUGCUUAACACAUGCAAGUCGAACGGUAAGGCCCUUCGGGGUACACGAGUGGCGAACGGGUGAGUAACACGUGGGUGAUCUGCCCUGCACUUCGGGAUAAGCCUGGGAAACUGGGUCUAAUACCGGAUAGGACCACUGCCUGCAUGGGUGGUGGUGGAAAGCUUUUGCGGUGUGGGAUGGGCCCGCGGCCUAUCAGCUUGUUGGUGGGGUGAUGGCCUACCAAGGCGACGACGGGUAGCCGGCCUGAGAGGGUGACCGGCCACACUGGGACUGAGAGACGGCCCAGACUCCGACGGGAGGCAGCAGGGGGGAAUAUUGCACAAUGGGCGCAAGCCUGAUGCAGCGACGCCGCGUGAGGGAUGACGGCCUUCGGGUUGUAAACCUCUUUCAGCACCGACGAAGCGCAAGUGACGGUAGGUGCAGAAGAAGGACCGGCCGACUACGUGCCAGCCGCCGCCGUAA
rnacentral:rRNA from 1 species